rnacentral:rRNA from 1 species
AUCGAUGAAGAACGCAGCGAAAUGCGAUAAGUAAUGUGAAUUGCAGAAUUCAGUGAAUCAUCGAAUCUUUGAACGCACAUUGCGCCCCUUGGCAUUCCGGGGGGCAUGCCUGUUCGAGCGUCAUUUCAACCCUCAAGCUCUGCUUGGUAUUGAGUCCAUGUCAGCAAUGGCAGGCUCUAAAAUCAGUGGCGGCGCCGCUGGGUCCUGAACGUAGUAAUAUCUCUCGUUACAGGUUCUCGGUGUGCUUCUGCCAAAACCCCAAUUUUCUAUGGUUGACCUCGGAUCAGGUAGGGAUACCCGCUGAACUUAAGCAUAUCAAUAAGCGGAGGAAAAGAAACCAACAGGGAUUGCCUCAGUAACGGCGAGUGAAGCGGCAAAAGCUCAAAUUUGAAAUCUGGCUCUUUCAGGGUCCGAGUUGUAAUUUGUAGAAGAUGCUUCGGGUGUGGUCCCGGUCUAAGUUCCUUGGAACAGGACGUCAUAGAGGGUGAGAAUCCCGUAUGUGACUGGGUACCUACGCUCAUGUGAAGCUCUUUCGACGAGUCGAGUUGUUUGGGAAUGCAGCUCAAAAUGGGUGGUAUAUUUCAUCUAAAGCUAAAUAUUGGCCAGAGACCGAUAGCGCACAAGUAGAGUGAUCGAAAGAUGAAAAGCACUUUGGAAAGAGAGUUAAACAGUACGUGAAAUUGUUGAAAGGGAAGCGCUUGCAAUCAGACUUGCACCUGGUGUUCAGCGGGGUUUCGUGCCCCGUGUACUUCAUCAGGUUCAGGCCAGCAUCGGUUUGGGUGGUUGGAUAAAGGCCUUGAGAAUGUGGCCCUCUUCGGGGGGUGUUAUAGCUCUCGGUGCAAUGCAGCCUACCUGGACCGAGGACCGCGCUUCGGCUAGGAUGCUGGCGUAAUGGUUGUAAGCGACCCGUCUUGAAACACGG